GGGUUGUGAGGUUAAGCGACUAAGCGUACACGGUGGAUGCCCUGGCAGUCAGAGGCGAUGAAGGACGUGCUAAUCUGCGAUAAGCGUCGGUAAGGUGAUAUGAACCGUUAUAACCGGCGAUUUCCGAAUGGGGAAACCCAGUGUGUUUCGACACACUAUCAUUAACUGAAUCCAUAGGUUAAUGAGGCGAACCGGGGGAACUGAAACAUCUAAGUACCCCGAGGAAAAGAAAUCAACCGAGAUUCCCCCAGUAGCGGCGAGCGAACGGGGAGGAGCCCAGAGCCUGAAUCAGUGUGUGUGUUAGUGGAAGCGUCUGGAAAGGCGCGCGAUACAGGGUGACAGCCCCGUACACAAAAAUGCACAUAUUGUGAGCUCGAUGAGUAGGGCGGGACACGUGGUAUCCUGUCUGAAUAUGGGGGGACCAUCCUCCAAGGCUAAAUACUCCUGACUGACCGAUAGUGAACCAGUACCGUGAGGGAAAGGCGAAAAGAACCCCGGCGAGGGGAGUGAAAAAGAACCUGAAACCGUGUACGUACAAGCAGUGGGAGCCUCUUUAUGGGGUGACUGCGUACCUUUUGUAUAAUGGGUCAGCGACUUAUAUUCUGUAGCAAGGUUAACCGAAUAGGGGAGCCGAAGGGAAACCGAGUCUUAACUGGGCGUUAAGUUGCAGGGUAUAGACCCGAAACCCGGUGAUCUAGCCAUGGGCAGGUUGAAGGUUGGGUAACACUAACUGGAGGACCGAACCGACUAAUGUUGAAAAAUUAGCGGAUGACUUGUGGCUGGGGGUGAAAGGCCAAUCAAACCGGGAGAUAGCUGGUUCUCCCCGAAAGCUAUUUAGGUAGCGCCUCGUGAAUUCAUCUCCGGGGGUAGAGCACUGUUUCGGCAAGGGGGUCAUCCCGACUUACCAACCCGAUGCAAACUGCGAAUACCGGAGAAUGUUAUCACGGGAGACACACGGCGGGUGCUAACGUCCGUCGUGAAGAGGGAAACAACCCAGACCGCCAGCUAAGGUCCCAAAGUCAUGGUUAAGUGGGAAACGAUGUGGGAAGGCCCAGACAGCCAGGAUGUUGGCUUAGAAGCAGCCAUCAUUUAAAGAAAGCGUAAUAGCUCACUGGUCGAGUCGGCCUGCGCGGAAGAUGUAACGGGGCUAAACCAUGCACCGAAGCUGCGGCAGCGACGCUUAUGCGUUGUUGGGUAGGGGAGCGUUCUGUAAGCCUGCGAAGGUGUGCUGUGAGGCAUGCUGGAGGUAUCAGAAGUGCGAAUGCUGACAUAAGUAACGAUAAAGCGGGUGAAAAGCCCGCUCGCCGGAAGACCAAGGGUUCCUGUCCAACGUUAAUCGGGGCAGGGUGAGUCGACCCCUAAGGCGAGGCCGAAAGGCGUAGUCGAUGGGAAACAGGUUAAUAUUCCUGUACUUGGUGUUACUGCGAAGGGGGGACGGAGAAGGCUAUGUUGGCCGGGCGACGGUUGUCCCGGUUUAAGCGUGUAGGCUGGUUUUCCAGGCAAAUCCGGAAAAUCAAGGCUGAGGCGUGAUGACGAGGCACUACGGUGCUGAAGCAACAAAUGCCCUGCUUCCAGGAAAAGCCUCUAAGCAUCAGGUAACAUCAAAUCGUACCCCAAACCGACACAGGUGGUCAGGUAGAGAAUACCAAGGCGCUUGAGAGAACUCGGGUGAAGGAACUAGGCAAAAUGGUGCCGUAACUUCGGGAGAAGGCACGCUGAUAUGUAGGUGAAGCGACUUGCUCGUGGAGCUGAAAUCAGUCGAAGAUACCAGCUGGCUGCAACUGUUUAUUAAAAACACAGCACUGUGCAAACACGAAAGUGGACGUAUACGGUGUGACGCCUGCCCGGUGCCGGAAGGUUAAUUGAUGGGGUCAGCGCAAGCGAAGCUCUUGAUCGAAGCCCCGGUAAACGGCGGCCGUAACUAUAACGGUCCUAAGGUAGCGAAAUUCCUUGUCGGGUAAGUUCCGACCUGCACGAAUGGCGUAAUGAUGGCCAGGCUGUCUCCACCCGAGACUCAGUGAAAUUGAACUCGCUGUGAAGAUGCAGUGUACCCGCGGCAAGACGGAAAGACCCCGUGAACCUUUACUAUAGCUUGACACUGAACAUUGAGCCUUGAUGUGUAGGAUAGGUGGGAGGCUUGGAAGUGUGGACGCCAGUCUGCAUGGAGCCGACCUUGAAAUACCACCCUUUAAUGUUUGAUGUUCUAACGUGGACCCGUAAUCCGGGUUGCGGACAGUGUCUGGUGGGUAGUUUGACUGGGGCGGUCUCCUCCUAAAGAGUAACGGAGGAGCACGAAGGUUGGCUAAUCCUGGUCGGACAUCAGGAGGUUAGUGCAAUGGCAUAAGCCAGCUUGACUGCGAGCGUGACGGCGCGAGCAGGUGCGAAAGCAGGUCAUAGUGAUCCGGUGGUUCUGAAUGGAAGGGCCAUCGCUCAACGGAUAAAAGGUACUCCGGGGAUAACAGGCUGAUACCGCCCAAGAGUUCAUAUCGACGGCGGUGUUUGGCACCUCGAUGUCGGCUCAUCACAUCCUGGGGCUGAAGUAGGUCCCAAGGGUAUGGCUGUUCGCCAUUUAAAGUGGUACGCGAGCUGGGUUUAGAACGUCGUGAGACAGUUCGGUCCCUAUCUGCCGUGGGCGCUGGAGAACUGAGGGGGGCUGCUCCUAGUACGAGAGGACCGGAGUGGACGCAUCACUGGUGUUCGGGUUGUCAUGCCAAUGGCACUGCCCGGUAGCUAAAUGCGGAAGAGAUAAGUGCUGAAAGCAUCUAAGCACGAAACUUGCCCCGAGAUGAGUUCUCCCUGACCCUUUAAGGGUCCUGAAGGAACGUUGAAGACGACGACGUUGAUAGGCCGGGUGUGUAAGCGCAGCGAUGCGUUGAGCUAACCGGUACUAAUGAACCGUGAGGCUUAACCUUACAACGCCGAAGCUGUU
rnacentral:rRNA from 1 species